rnacentral:rRNA from 1 species
UACGUAGGGGGCAAGCGUUGUCCGGAUUUAUUGGGCGUAAAGAGCUCGUAGGCGGUUUGGUAAGUCUGGUGUGAAAUCUCCACGCUCAACGUGGAGGGGCCACCCGAUACUGCCAUGACUGGAGUCCGGUAGAGGAGUGUGGAAUUCCCGGUGUAGCGGUGAAAUGCGCAGAUAUCGGGAGGAACACCCGUAGCGAAGGCGGCUCACUGGACCGGAACUGACGCUGAGGCGCGAAAGCGUGGGGAGCAAACGGG